rnacentral:rRNA from 1 species
GCCAGCAGCUAUAUCAUCCUGCAGUUCACAACUGGCAGCCCACUGAAGCUCAGCAGGUGUGAGCCUGACCAGUACAUGGAUGGGAGACCUCCUGGGAAGGGGGAGGUUGCUGCUGAAA